rnacentral:rRNA from 1 species
GACGAACGCUGGCGGCGUGCUUAACACAUGCGAGUCGAACGGAAGGGCCCUGCUUGCAGGGUACUCGAGUGGCGAACGGGUGAGUAACACGUGGGUGAUCUGCCCUGCACUUCGGGAUAAGCCUGGGAAACUGGGUCUAAUACCGGAUAGGAGCCAUUUUUAGUGUGAUGGUUGGAAAGUUUUUUCGGUGUAGGAUGAGCUCGCGGCCUAUCAGCUUGUUGGUGGGGUAAUGGCCUACCAAGGCGGCGACGGGUAGCCGGCCUGAGAGGGUGGACGGCCACAUUGGGACUGAGAUACGGCCCAGACUCCUACGGGAGGCAGCAGUGGGGAAUAUUGCACAAUGGGCGCAAGCCUGAUGCAGCGACGCCGCGUGGGGGAUGACGGCCUUCGGGUUGUAAACUCCUUUCGCUAGGGACGAAGCUUUUUGUGACGGUACCUAGAUAAGAAGCACCGGCUAACUACGUG